UACGUAGGGGGCUAGCGUUGUCCGGAAUCAUUGGGCGUAAAGCGCGUGUAGGCGGUCUGGUAAGUCCGCUGUGAAAGUCGGGGGCUCAACCCUCGGAUGCCGGUGGAUACUGUCGGGCUUGAGUACGGAAGAGGCGAGUGGAAUUCCUGGUGUAGCGGUGAAAUGCGCAGAUAUCAGGAGGAACACCAAUUGCGAAGGCAGCUCUCUGGCCUAUAACUGACGCUGAGGUGCGAAAGCGUGGGGAGCAAACGGG
rnacentral:rRNA from 1 species